rnacentral:rRNA from 1 species
UAGGGAAUCUUCGGCAAUGGACGAAAGUCUGACCGAGCAACGCCGCGUGAGUGAAGAAGGUUUUCGGAUCGUAAAACUCUGUUGUUAGAGAAGAACAAGGACGUUAGUAACUGAACGUCCCCUGACGGUAUCUAACCAGAAAGCCACGGCUAACUACGUGCCAGCAGCCGCUGUAAUACGUAGGUGGCAAGCGUUGUCCGGAUUUAUUGGGCGUAAAGCGAGCGCAGGCGGUUUCUUAAGUCUGAUGUGAAAGCCCCCGGCUCAACCGGGGAGGGUCAUUGGAAACUGGGAGACUUGAGUGCAGAAGAGGAGAGUGGAAUUCCAUGUGUAGCGGUGAAAUGCGUAGAUAUAUGGAGGAACACCAGUGGCGAAGGCGGCUCUCUGGUCUGUAACUGACGCUGAGGCUCGAAAGCGUGGGGAGCAAACAGG